rnacentral:rRNA from 1 species
UGGGGAAUUUUGGACAAUGGGCGAAAGCCUGAUCCAGCAAUGCCGCGUGAGUGAAGAAGGCCUUCGGGUUGUAAAGCUCUUUUGUCAGGGAAGAAACGGUGAGGGCUAAUAUCCCUUGCUAAUGACGGUACCUGAAGAAUAAGCACCGGCUAACUACGUGCCAGCAGCCGCGGUAAUACGUAGGGUGCAAGCGUUAAUAGGAAUUACUGGGCGUAAAGCGUGCGCAGGCGGUUUUGUAAGUCUGAUGUGAAAUCCCCGGGCUCAACCUGGGAAUUGCAUUGGAGACUGCAAGGCUAGAAUCUGGCAGAGGGGGGUAGAAUUCCACGUGUAGCAGUGAAAUGCGUAGAUAUGUGGAGGAACACCGAUGGCGAAGGCAGCCCCCUGGGUCAAGAUUGACGCUCAUGCACGAAAGCGUGGGGAGCAAACA